rnacentral:rRNA from 1 species
CGAACGAGAAAGGGAUCCUUCGGGAACCUGAGUAAAGUGGCGAACGGGUGAGUAACACGUGGGUGACCUGCCCUCUGGAGGGGGAUAACCCGAGGAAACUCGGGCUAAGACCGCAUAAGCCUUCGAGGUCAAAUUCAAAGGGAAAAGGAUUUAGCUUUCGAGCUAGAUCCUACCGGAGGAGGGGCCCGCGUCCCAUUAGCUAGUUGGUGGGGUAAAAGCCUACCAAGGCUACGAUGGGUAGCCGGUCUGAGAGGACGGACGGCCACACUGGAACUGAGACACGGUCCAGACUCCUACGGGAGGCAGCAGUGGGGAAUCUUGGGCAAUGGGCGAAAGCCUGACCCAGCAACGCCGCGUGGAGGAUGAAGGCCCUCGGGUCGUAAACUCCUGUCCUAGGGGAAGAAAAAAAUGACGGUACCCUUGGAGGAAGCCCCGGCUAACUCCGUGCCAGCAGCCGCGGUAAGACGGGGGGGGCGAGCGUUGUUCGGAAUUACUGGGCGUAAAGGGCGCGCAGGCGGCUUGGGAAGUCUUGGGUGAAAGCCCCCAGCUCAACUGGGGAAUGGCCUGAGAAACCACUAGGCUAGAGUGCUGGAGAGGGA